rnacentral:lncRNA from 1 species
GCGUAUUGAGAUGGUUGCUCAGAAUGGCAACAGCUUUUGUCAAGCACAUGGGGAGAUUGUCUGAAGAAGAUUCUUGGCAGUUGUUUCAACAGCUUGCAUUCGGGAUGAGAAGGAAAGAGGAGCGGGCACGCCUGGAAGCCAUUGGAGUAUCAAUAGUGAAGAAGUGUGGUGGUGUUCCUUUAGCUAUAAAGGCACUAGGGAACCUAAUGCGGUUAAAAGAAAGUGAAGAUCAGUGGAUAGCUGUCAAAGAAAGUGAGAUUUGGGAUCUAAGAGAAGAAGCAACGAGAUCUUACCUGCUUUGAGGUUGAGUUACUAAUCUAUCACCACAUUUGAAGCAAUGCUUUGCGUAUUUCGCUAUAUUUCCAAAAGAUCACGUGAUGAGGAGGGAGGAGCUGGUUGCUUUGUGGAUGGCAAAUGGCUUUAUUUCUUGCAGAAAGAAAUGGAUUUGCACGUCAUGGGCAUUGAGAUAUUCAAUGAACUAGUGGGAAGGUCAUUUCUGCAAGAGGUCGAGGAUGAUGGAUUUGGCAACAUAACAUGUAAAAUGCAUGAUCUUAUGCAUGAUCUUGCACAAUCCAUUGCAGUACAAGAAUGCUAUAACAGAAGGCGAUGGGAGUUGGAAAUUCCUAAAACUGCCCGUCAUGUUGCUUUUAUAACAAAUCAGUAGCUUCGUCUUCUAAGUUCUCAAGGUCCUAUCACUUCGCUCACUUCUUUGAGGAAUGAAGAGUAUGGAUGGAUGGGGAAAGAUUCCUGGUCGAAAACAUCGAGCCUUGAGUUUAAGAAUAUCCGGGUGAAGAAAUUGCCGAAGUCAAUUUGUGAUUUGAAACAUCUAAGGUAUCUAGAUGUGUCAGGCUCGAAGAUCAAAACACUGCCUGAAAGUACAACCUCUCUCCAAAACCUCCAGACACUAGAUCUGAGAGAUUGCAAUAACUCAUCCAAUUACCAAAAGGUAUGAAGCACAUGAAAAGUCUUGUCUAUCUUGACAUCGGGUUGUUAUUCACUUCGAUUUAUGCCUUGUGGAAUGGGGCAAUUGAUAUUCCUGCGAAAACUUACCCUGUUCAUUGUGGGUGGGAGAAUGGUCGUCGCAUAAGUGAGCUGGAAGGGCUGAAUAAUCUUGCUGGUGAAUUGAGUAUCACAGAUCUUGUGAAUGUUAAGAAUUUAAAAGAUGCCAAAGUGCCAAUUUGAAGUUGAAGACAGCUCUUUUAUCACUGACUUUAUCUUGGCAGGAAUGGAGAUUACCUUUUUGGCCCUCUGUCAUAUGUGCCACCAGAACAAAGAAAGAGUGUGGAUAUGGAGGUCCUUGAAGGGCUUCAACCUCAUUCAAAUCUGAAGAAGUUGAGGAUAUAUGGAUAUGGAGGUUCAACAUUUCCUAAUUGGAUGAUGAAGCUACCAUAUCUGGUAGAGAUGGAGCUAUCAGCGCACCACUGUGAACAACUUCCACCAUUGGGGAAACUACAGUUCCUCAAGAGUCUUAAAUUAUGGGGAAUGGAUGGUGUGAAGAGUAUUGACAGCAAUGUGUAUGGAGAUGGGCAGAAUCCAUUCCCAUCUUUGGAGACGCUGGCUUUCUAUUCAAUGGAGGGAUUAGAGCAAUGGGCUGCGUGUACUUUUCCUUGCCUUCGAGAUUUGAGGAUAGUCGGUUGCCCUGUGUUGAACGAAAUACCAAUUAUACCCUCCGUCAAAACAUUACACAUCACGGGAGUGAAUGCUUCGUUGCUGAUGUCAGUUAGGAAUCUCACUUCUAUCACCUCCCUUGAUAUAGGAGGGAUUCACGCUAUAAGGGAGCUUCCCGAUGGGUUUUUGCAAAAUCAUACCCUCCUUGAAAGCUUAGAAAUUGGUGGGAUGCGAGAUCUGGAGUCUUUGUCAAAUAGGGUAUUAGAUAACCUUUCUGCUCUUAAAAGCUUGAGGAUUUUUGAAUGCGAGAAACUUGAAAGCUUGCCAGAGGAAGGUCUUCGUAACCUCAAUUCCUUGGAGCUUUUAAGCAUAAAGUAUUGUGGAAGAUUAAAUUGUCUGCCAAUAAAUGGGAUGUGUGGCUUAUCUUCUCUUCGCGAGUUAUCUAUUGGAAGUUGUGAUAAAUUCACAUCUCUAUCAGAGGGAGUGCGGCAUCUGACGACACUUGAGGAUUUGAAGCUUGAAGGAUGUCCAAAGCUGAAUUCAUUGCCAGAGAGUAUCCAACAUCUCACUUCACUCCAAUCUCUAAGAAUAUGGAACUGCGAGGGAUUAGCUUCUUUGCCAAAUCAGAUUGGAUAUCUCACUUCUCUCCAAUCUCUAUACAUUCGGGGUUGUCCAAAUUUGAAGAAAAGGUGUGAGAAAGAUUUAGGCGAGGACUGGCCUAAGAUAGCUCACAUUCCUAGCAUUGACAUUAGAUGAGAAUAAAUUUUAUUUUUUUAGUUUUAAUUUGUUGUAAUUUUUUAAAUAACUUUAUCAAAUUCAUUAUUGUUAUAUUUUUCAUAUAAAUGUGUAAAAAUAAUUGAUUCAUGAUUAUUAUGGGGACAUUGGGGAUUGUGAUAGAUUAUUGUAUAGAGAUUAGACUUUUUGGCAUCGCAUUUAUGGGUAUAAAGAUUUUAUUGUAAUUUCCUUCCUCACAUAUUUUCUUUUGGUGAAAUUGCUUUUAGCUAAAGAUUACAUGAACCACGCUACGCAAACUGGAAAAAAAAAUCUUGGCAUUCAAACAUAUUUUAAAAAACAAGAAAAUGUUGGGAUCUGGAUCAUCAACUCGGCUAGGCUAGAUCAAAUAAGUUUCUCCUAUCUCACAACAUCUUAUGCACCAAACAAAGAAAUCAAAAUAGCGACCAUUUUAAGAAAAAAUAACAUUAAUAAAAAAAUAACAAAAAUACAUUUUAAUCUAACAGGUGUCAUAAAAGAAUUGAGAAUCCAAGGGGAAGAAAUGAUCUAAGCAAACCCCAAGUGCGCUUCUGGACAUGCAACCCAUGUAUAAGAUAAUGAUAAUUUUUUAAAAAUCUUUUAAAAAAUAAAAAAUAGAAUACAAAGCGUAUAAACAGAAAAAAAAAAAAUAUUGUGAUCUUUCUAACACUCUUGAAUGGGCAAUUUUCAUUAUCUCCUCUCGAUGUUCCACCUAAAACAUGUAGAGUGAUUUAACAUGAUGACCCGUUAACAAAAUGCACCAACAAUAAUUUUUAUUUAAAUAUUAUUUUUUAAAUAUCAAACUGGCCCUGUUUUAACCCACAAUUACAAAAUAAUUGAAUUGAAAAGACAAAUAUACCCUUUCACCCUAGUUUAAAAAAUCUUGACUUAAGGAUGUAAUUAAGUAAAUAAAUUGUUCAUUUGAAAAGUAGAAAACGGGCCGGCCCUUGUCUUGACCCAAUGAUUACCAAAAGACCAAAAAAAAAAAUUACGAGUAACCUUAAGAACACAGUUAAAAUAUAUUUGUUUUAAAGGGCAACAAAGUUAAUUCAUUAUGUUUUUUUAAUUAAAAAAUUAUAAUCACCCCUCAAUUGAAGCAAUUUUUAUUGCAUAUCAAGGGCAUCUGAGUCAUUACACUAUAUAAUAUAUAUAUAAAAAUACAUUCUAGAUCCUAAUCAAAUUAAUAAUGAUAGAUAUGUCCAAUUACAAUUGGACCCUGAAAAUAAUGUAAAUGAGUUUUUUAAGGUUAAAAUAAUAAAUAUACUAUUGUCGUCCACAUUUCUCUAAGUUUGUGUGCGCAGUAAAUUCAAAAUUUGUUUUAGUUUUUUUUAUGUAACUUUAUUUUUUUGUUAAUUUUUAAAUAUUUUUGAAUUCACACCUCUUUUAUUUAAUGAAACAGGCCGCAUACUAUUUUCAGAGAUCCGUUUAAGAGGGGCAAUAGCAUCCUUGUGAGUGCAAUUUUGUUCCCUUAUAUCUUUCCACUUGAUAUCGCCACCACAGCUUGAUCUCAUUCUCUCCGAUGUUGAUGUUUAUUGGAUUAGUCAUAUGUGAAGCUUAAACUCAAGAUGUUGUUGCUGAAGGGCUCUGGUAUUUUAUUUUAAUUUUAUCCUAAUCCACCCUUACUUUCUUCAUUCUUUUUUCUUAUAAGAUAACUGCAAAGUGUUUUAUAAUUAUGAUUAAUGAGCAAUCUGAUAAAAAAAACCAGGAAUGACCUUGAGCAAGAAUACAUCUAUUGGUUGGUCUCUUGGUGGUUAUCCUGGUCCUCCGGGACCAUACUACUGUGGUGUUGGUGUUGACGAAGCCUUCGGCAUUGUUGAUGCACAGUAGACGGCAUGCCUGUAUGCCGGUAUGAACAUUAGUGGUAUGAACGGAGAAGUGAUGUCGGGCGAGGUAAAAUAAAAGAACGAGCAUAUCCCCUCUACCAUUUUGAUCUUACAGUUCUAGUUUAGAACCAUUCUAAUCUUGUUCUGUCUUACAACGUUAAAGUGGAAAUUUCAUGCAGUGGAAAUUUCACGCUGGACCUUCAGUCGGUAUCUCUGUUGGAGAUGAAUUAUGGGCUGCAGCUCGGUACAUUCUGGAACUAUUCCCAUUUCUAUUGUUUUCUGAAAUGUCUAUAUUUAUGUUAACAGAGGAUUACUGAGGUUGCUGGAGUUGUGCUUUCAUUCGAUCCUAAGCCAACUCAGGUCAGUUUUUAUUUCAUCGUACCCUACUGGAUGCUGCCAGUGUGCAUGUUUUCAGUACUUUUAUUGUCUGAGCUCUCAGGAAAUUGGACUUCUGUUUUGUCAAGAAGAUUGGAAAGGAGCGGGGGCACACAAAAAUUACAGGUUCAAAUUUUUUUCGUUGAUUGAAGCUUAAUUUAUUUGCUUCUUUGUUCCACACUUGCUAUUUUUUUUUUAAUCUUAUACUUGAAAAUUCUUCACAUUUUCUGUGCUAUGUCUAUGAGAAAUGAAGGAGGCUGUGAAGUCAUCAAGAAAGCAGUUGAAAAGCUUGGUAUGAGGCAUAAAGAACAUAUCGCAGUCUAUGGCGAAAGGGAUUGAGCAGAGACUUGUUAAUUAUUUGGAGACAAACCAUGUCCCACCAUGUGCAAGUGGGAAUCCCCCACUUUGCACACGGUGGAGGCAACGGUGGACACAAAUGAUGAUGUCCUUCCCUCAUCCCUUGUAUAUGUAUAUGAGCUGUGUGUGUGCAUGUAUAACAGUGUGUGAAGAGAAGAAGAGAGAGUUGCAGUUGUGUGAAACACAAAGAGAAACACAUAGAGAGAGCUAGGGAGAGUUGAGUUGAGUUGAGAAGAAUUUUCUCAUCCUCCUUGUUUUGUUGUUUGUAUUGUUUGUAAGCUUGAUUAAUACAAACCAAUAGCUCCGUGGAGUAGGCAAGUUGCCGAACCACGUAAAUUGUGUGUGUUUGAGUUCUGGAAAUAUCCCAACAACUGGUAUCAGAGCUUGUUCUUGACGAAGAGGGUGUUUGAUCCAAACUCAAAAAUCAAUGUUCUCAAAACGUGUUUUUGACCAUACCAUCGUGUAGAGGACAACCGGACGAAUCCACUGGUGAAAACCCGGCGAAGAACCGACGUCCUGCAUGCCCGCACGCGCCACCGCACAGACGGCCCACGCGCAGCAACGCGCCUCACGCGCGACACGCUCCUUCUUCACCCGUUUUUCUGCAAAACGGGUCGGGUCUGACCCGCCACGUCAGCCAAGUCGCACGGUCAACGCCACGUCACCUGCCACGUCAUCCAUCUGGGUUUUGAUCUGGUGCACCGCAGAUGGUAAUCGUCUGACACGUGGCUGCAUCAUCACCGUCGAAGGGUUUGAUCCGGUGCGACUCAGGCUCUAAUCGGAGGACACGUGGACUAAUCUGCACCGUCACUGAGUUUUGAUCCGGUGCGACUAAAGGCUGUAAUCUGCUGACACGUGGCUUCAUCAGAACCGCUACUGAGUUUUUAUCCGGUGUGACGCAUGCCUUACUCUGUCUGACACGCGGCUGCAUCUGAACCGUCCGUUAAUCCAAAACUUUAAUUGCUAAAAUCUGAGCCAUCCAAAGUCCGAUUGGGGUGAUCUCAGUGUCAUUUCCAAGGUUUUUGGCCGUUCCGGACACAUCUGUAAGGUCAGAUUUGGCAAAUUCUAAUCAGAGAAAUAUUAAAAAUGGCAGAUGAAAUAAAGGCUGCAGGAAUUGAAAAAUUUGACGGAACAGAUUUUGGAUACUGGAAAAUGCAGAUUGAGGAUUAUUUAUAUGGGAAGAAACUUCAUCUUCCCUUAUUGGGAAGCAAACCAGAAAAGAUGGAAGAAGAAGAAUGGCAACUUCUUGAUAGACAAGUUCUGGGCAUUAUCCGGCUAUCGUUAUCAAGAAGAGUUGCUCACAAUGUUACGAAAGAAAAAUCCACUGCAAAAUUGAUGGAAGCCUUGUCUGGGAUGUAUGAGAAGCCAUCAGCAAAUAAUAAAGUGCACCUGAUGAAAAAGUUGUUCAACUUGAAGAUGGUCGAAAACGCUUCUGUGACACAACACCUCAACAACUUUAAUACCAUCACAAAUCAAUUAUCAUCUGUUGCGAUUGAGUUUGAUGAUGAGAUUCGUGCACUCAUCUUGCUAGCUUCACUUCCAAGCAGUUGGGAAGGCAUGAGGACAGCCGUGAGCAAUUCAGCUGGAAAAUCCAAACUGAAGUAUGAUGACAUUCGAGACUUGAUUUUGGCUGAAGAAGUGCGAAGGAAAGACUCGGGUGAAAGUUCAAGCUCAGGAUCAGCUCUCAACAUCAACACUCGAGGGAGGAGACACGAUAGAGGCUCAUCCAGAGGCAGAUCAAAAUCCAGAUACAGAAGUAAAAGCAAGUUUGGAUCCAGAAAGCAGGUUGAAUGUUGGAAUUGUGGCAAACCUGGUCAUUUCAGUAGGAAUUGCACAAAACCGAAGAAACCUGAAGUUGACUCUGCAAACGCUACCACAGAUGAGGUACAAGAUGCUUUAAUUCUUGCUGUGCAAAGUCAAAUUGAUGAGUGGAUUCUUGAUUCUGGUGCUUCAUUCCACUGUACGCCACACAAUGAAAUACUGCAAAAUUAUGUUGGAGGAGAUCAUGGUGUAGUCUAUCUGGCCGAUGGAACACCACUGAAGAUUGUGGGUAUAGGAGAUGUGCAAAUCAAGACAAUGAAUGGACCUUGUAGAAUGUAAGGCAUGUUCCUGAAUUAAAGAAGAAGUUGAUCUCUGUCGGACAACUUGAUGAUAGUGGUCAUUCAAUACUUUUUGCUGGAGGAAUGUGGAAAGUAUCAAAGGGAGCAAUGGUUUUAGCUCGUGGAAAGAAAACCGGCACCCUGUAUAUGACCACAAGAUUUGCAGACAUCAUUGCCUCAACUGAAGCAGAAAAUCAAGCACAUCUAUCGCAUUGUAGACUUGGCCAUAUGAGUCAAAAGGGGAUGAAGAUAUUUAGUCGAAGGGAAAGCUGCCAGAGUUAAAAAAUGUCGAUCUAGACAUUUGUGAAAGCUGUGUUCUUGGAAAACAGAAGAAGGUCAGUUUCUUGAAGGUUGGCAGGACCUUACGACCAAGAAAGCUAGAACUGGUACACACAGAUUUAUGGGGACCGUCUCCAGUAGCAUCUCUUGGAGGUUCUCGGUAUUAUGUGACUUUCAUUGAUGACUUCAGCAGGAAGGUAUGGGUUUACUUUCUGAAAAAUAAAUCUGAUGUGUUUGAAACAUUCAAGAAAUGGAAGGCUAUGGUUGAGACUGAAUCAGGUCUAAAGUUGAAAUGCUUGAGAUCUGAUAAUGGAGGAGAAUACAUUGAUGGAGGUUUCAAGGAGUAUUGUGCUGUCAAUGGUAUCAGAAUGGAAAAGACCGUUCCAGGCACACCGCAACAGAAUGGCGUUGCUGAACGGAUGAACAGGACCAUCAAUGAACGAGCUAGAAGCAUGAGGUUGCAUUCAGGGUUACCUCAAACAUUCUGGGCUGACGCAGUUCAUACCGCAGUUUACUUGAUCAACCGUGGACCAUCAGUUCCUUUGGAAUUCAGAUUGCCCGAGGAAGUAUGGAGAGGAAAAGAGGUACGACUCUCUCAUUUGAAGGUCUUUGGGUGUGUUUCCUAUGUUCACAUAGAUUCUGAUGCUCGCAACAAGUUAAGCCAAAUCCAAGAAAUGUUUCUUCAUUGGCUAUGGAGAUGAAGAAUUUGGAUUUCGGUUCUGGGAUGAUCAGAAUAGAAAGAUUAUCAGAAGCAGGAACGUGAUCUUCAAUGAGAAAGUUAUGUACAAAGACAGAUCAAGUGAGAAACAGAGAUGGCUGAUUCAGAUACAAGUCCACAAAGAUCUGAAUUCAUAAGAUUAGAAGGGCUUCCCGAUGUUACUAAGCAGAACAACAAUCAAGAGUCUUUACAAGAAGAUUCAAGCACAUCUGUGCCCACUUCCACACAAGAAGAUGCGGAGCAAUUGAACCAGCUGUUCGCAGGUCUUCGAGGACGAUAAAGCCCCCGCAACGGUUCACACUUUUACUGAAUUAUAUUUUGCUGACAGAUGGUGGUGAACCGUUACUUAUGAAGAAUCCUUACAAGAUGGAAACUCAAGCAAGUGGGAGUUAGCCAUGAAGGAUGAGAUGAGUUCGUUGCUGAAGAACAAGACUUGGGAGCUAACACAUUACCUGAAGGAAAGAAGGCCUUGCAAAAUAAGUGGGUUUACAGAGUGAAGACUGAGCAUGACGGAAGCAAACGGUUCAAGGCAAGACUUGUUGUCAAAGGGUUUCAACAAAGAAAGGCAUUGACUACUCUGAGAUUUUUUCUCCAGUUGUGAAGCUCACAACAAUCAGAGUUGUUCUGGGGAUAGUAGCUGCAGAAAAUUUACAUCUUGAACAGUUAGAUGUAAAAACAGCAUUCCUUCAUGGUGACUUGGAGGAAGAUAUUUACAUGCAACAGCCAGAGGGGUUUGCAAUGCAAGGAAAGGAGAAUCAAGUCUGCAAGCUACAGAAAAGCCUAUACGGUUUGAAGCAAGCUCCAAGACAGUGGUACAAGAAGUUUGACAACUUCAUGUGCAGUUCCGGGUAUACAAGAUGCCAAGCUGAUCAUUGUUGCUAUGUCAAACAUUUUGACAACUCCUACAUCAUUCUACUAUUAUAUGUAGAUGAUAUGUUGAUUGCAGGAUCCAGCAUUGAGGAGAUUGAUAAGCUGAAACAGCAGUUGUCGAAACAGUUUGAAAUGAAGGAUCUGGGAGCUGCUAAACAAAUACUUGGCAUGAGAAUCAUCAGAGAUAAAGACAAAGGCAUACUAAAGCUCUCACAAACAGAGUAUGUCAAGAAGGUUCUCAGCAGGUUUAGUAUGGAUAAUGCUAAACCAGUAAGUACACCACUGGGGAAUCAUUUCAAGCUCAGCAAAGAUCAGUCACCAAAACUGAGCUAGAAAGUGGAUACAUGGAUAAGAUUCCAUACGCCUCAGCUAUCGGCUCUUUGAUGUAUGCUAUGGUCUGUACCAGACCAGACAUUGCCCAUGCAGUGGGAGUUGUAAGCCGAUAUAUGAGCAAUCCUGGAAAGCAGCAUUGGGAGGGUGAAAUGGAUCAUGAGGUACUUAAAAGGUUCAUCGGAAACUUGUCUCAGUUUCACAGCUGGUGGUUUGAAACUUGAAGGUUUUGUAGAUGCUGAUCUAGCAGGAGAUGUUGAUAGCAGAAAGAGCACUACAGGAUAUGUUUAUACUCUAGGAGGUACUGCUGUUUCCUGGAGUUCUACCUUGCAAAAGAUCGUUGCUCUUUCAACAACAGAAGCUGAAUAUGUUGCAGUCUCAGAAUCUGCAAAAGAGAUAGUAUGGUUGCAGAGUUUCUUGAAAGAAUUGGGCAAGUUGAAUGGAAAAGGUACUUUGUAUAGCGACAGUCAGAGUGCAAUCUUCCUUGCCAAGAAUCCAGCAUUUCACUCCAGGACGAAGCAUAUUCAGAUCAAAUAUCACUUCAUCCGACAACUGCUGGACGACGAGCAACUAAUGCUAGAAAAGGUCUGUGGAAGCAAGAAUCCAGCAGACAUGUUAACCAAAGGAGUUACACUUGAGAAACUGAAGUUGUGCAAAACUUCAGUUGGCCUUCAAGGAUAAAAGAUAAUUUCAUUGUUUGUCUCCAAGUGGGAGAUUGUUAAUUAUUUGGAGACAAACCAUGUCCCACCAUGUGCAAGUGGGAAUCCCCCACUUUGCACAUGGUGGAGGACACAAAGUGGAGGCAACGGUGGACACAAAUGAUGAUGUCCUUCCCUCAUCCCUUGUAUAUGUAUAUGAGCUAUGUGUGUGCAUGUAUAACGGUGUGUGAAGAGAAGAAGAGAGAGUUGCAGUUGUGUGAAACACAGAGAGAAACACAUAGAGAGAGCUAGGGAGAGUUGAGUUGAGUUGAGAAGAAUUUUCUCCUCCUCCUUGUUUUGUUGUUUGUAUUGUUUGUAAGCUUGAUUAAUACAAACCAAUAGCUCCGUGGAGUAGGCAAGUUGCCGAACCACGUAAAUUGUGUGUGUUUGAGUUCUGGAAAUAUCCCAAGACUUACCGGACAGCGGCACGAAACAGAGGAUAUUAGUACUUUCAAUUGGGUAAGAGGGAAAAGAAACAAUUUCCUUGCUGCUUAAGUUCUUUUAUUAUAAGAUGUCUUACAUUAGUUUCUUUACAUCUUGUUCGAUUGACAAGGUUUUGCUAAUCGCAAAGCUUCCAUUUGUGUUGGCCGUGACAUAGAGAAAGAAGGAAAGGGGUAUUAUGAGGAAAUAAGGCCUGCUUCAAACAUGGAUCUAUAUCUUGCGACUUCCAUGAUUGUAGAAACCACCAUCCUGUGGAAGCCAUGAGAAUCUCAAGCAACACCUCAAACAAAAUAAUGUUGUUGGAAGUAGUACUUACAAGGAACCUUGGAAAGAUUUGUGUCAGUAGGAUGGAUAUCUUUCAAUUUGUUUCCAGUUGUAUUUGAGGCUGCAAGGGAUGUUAUUCCUUUGCUUGCUUGUCUUAUGAUUGAUUCGGCAUUUUGUGUUGAAUAAUGAAAUCUUAACUUUAAUCAUGUGAUGUUUUGUAUUAAAAAGAUUGGAAAAUAAAAUAAAGCCCUUGGAAGCUUAAAAAGAGGGUAUAAAUGAUUGAAGGGUAGUGUGGUAAUUGACCAAUAGUUGAUAAAUAUAAAUAAGAAAAAAAAAAAGAAUGAUAUGAUUUUGAGAGAAAGAGAGCUGCGGGAGAGAAAGGAAAAGAGGAAGAAGAAGAGAAGAAAAGAAAGGAGAGAAGGAAAGGAAGGAGAAGAGAAGUAGAUGAUAUAAGUAAAAAGGUAAGAUUUAUAGUUUUAAGUGUAUAAUAUGUUAAAUUUCGGUUUUGAUUAAUUUUGAGAGUUUUGAAGUUUGUAUUUUGAGUUAAUUGAUGAAUUAAUUUGAAGGUUAGGAGUUGAUUAUUGUGGGUAUUUGAUUAAUUAGUUGAUUUUGAGAGAUUGAAUUGAAGGAUAAUGAUUUUGAGUUAUGAUUUUGUUUAAAUGGGGAAAUUGUGUUAGAAAUCAGGGGAUAACAGUAGGUAAUCUGUUUAAAUUCUGGGUUUGAGGUUGAAGAUGACGAAAAUUCAAUUUGGUCCCUCAAUUUGCGGAAAUUGCAGUUUAGUCCCCGAACUUUGGAAAUUUUACAGAUUGGUCCCUGGGACAUAAAUUGAGGUUCUGAAAAGAACUGAGGAUGAUUUAAGGGCAAAAUUCCAGUAUAAUUAAUAUUUUCAGUUUGGUCCUCCAAUUUGACAAAUUACGAUUUGACCCCUAAUAUUUUGAUAAAAUCACAUUUUGGACCUUGGGGCAUAAUUCAAGAUUCUGGACAAAGAUAAGGACGAAUUAUGGAUAAAUUUCAGUAUGGAUAUAUAUUUACAAUUCGGUCCUCAAAUUUUGGUAAAAUUACGUUUUGGUCCCUGUUUUGGAAAAUUGUCGUUUUAGUCCCUAAACCUAGGAGAUUAAGCCCGGUUUUAUUUUAUGCAUUGGGAUCUUUUGUUUGAUUUUUUUUUGAGUAUAUUUCAUAUAUUUAUUGUACGUUCUCCUAACGAUCCUUAAUCGGAUUUUCUGGUCUUUUGCCUGACAUUCCUUUAGUUUAGUAUUUUCCGGGUGAGUGGAAUAAUAUUUAAUAUGCAUAUAAUAUAAAUAAAUAUGUAUGUUGAUUAUACAAUGAGUACAACUAGUAAAUUUAUUGAAUAUUUAUAUAUGUUGCUUUAUUUUCCGAGUACUCAUUUAUUCUUGAAUUUGCACUCGCAAUCUGAUAAAGUAAAUUCUAUUUGAUAUGAUAUACGUUUCUUUGAUGAUUCUGUGAAUAUCUAUUAUGCCUUGAUAUGGGACUUGUCAGUAACUCCAUGCUAAUGGAGAAUAGUUAGCAUGUGUGCACAUAGUAUUCUGUAUACCUAGCUGGUGAGAGAGGCAUCAGCCUAUGGCGAUUGAUCAUCCCACAGUGGUCACCGACGGGUGUCAUCUGGUCACCGACGGGUGUCAUCUGGUCACCUACGGGUGUCAUAUGAUCUCUGACAUGUAAUCCACUACGUUAUGAUAAUAUGUUACGUUAUGAUAUUAUGUUUAGUAAGUAUAUGUAUAUGUAUAUCACUACAAGAUUUUACAGUUUUACCGACGGAAAUAUUCCGUCGGUGUGUGACAGAACAUUCGUCGGUAAAGUAUUUACCGACUAUAUUACCGACGGAAUACACCCGUCGGAAUACCUUUUGUCGAUGAUUCCACAUUCCGUCGCCAUAUCGGUCGAUAAUACAAAAAAAACAUUUACCGAUGGUUUUACCGACGGACUGUGCGCGCCAAAAAAAAAAAAAGUUUCCCGCUUGGAAUAUACCGACGGAAAAUAUUCCGUCGGUGUUAUGUAAAUACCGACGGACUAUCUCCGUCGGCAAAAGUGUCGGUGAUAUUUCGUACCGACCGAAUAAAUCCGUUUGUAAAUUUGUCGGUAUUUUUAUACCGACGGAUUAUCUCUGUCGGUGAAUAUGUCGGUGAUGGGAUGGAAUACCGCAGACACUGUCCAAUGCCGACGGAUUGUUUCCGUCGGUAAAUCCCUGUGUAAUUUUUUUUUUAAUUAUUUAAAAAAAAUAAUAUAAAUUAAUAGUAAUACAAACCAAUUAUGCAAAUAAAAUUUAUAUUAAGCAACAAAAACUCAAAGUUAAAUAAUAUUCAUUACAAAAUGAAUGUGUUUAAAAAAAAACAAUUAAUAUAAAGGAGGAGGAGGAGGGUGGGGGUUAGGCGGCCAAAAAGGAUUAGGCGCACAUGUUCCACCUUGUGUCAUGUUCAUGACCAUUUGACGAAGCUCUUCAUAGGCCGCUCUUUGUUGUUCAGACUCUGCUCUGCGUUGUUCGUCCGCCAAUUUGUGUUGUUCGUUCGCCAAUCUUUGCUCUUCUUUGAGUUGUGUGUACGCCUCUGAUAGAUGGUCGCACCUUUGCUGCAAGGCCACAAACUCCUUAGAUUGGGAGCUCGAUACAGAUUGGGAGCUCCCACCGGUUGAAGCAGUACCGGUCGACCGCAACUUGGCGGCGGUAGUGUUGGAGAGCCCGUAAACCCGAUUUUUAUCGGGUCCACCUGACGAUCCAGCCUCCAUCCACAAAUCCGGAUCGAAUUCCGGAUGGUUCGAAGGAUCGUCCCCGUAUCUCUCCCUCAACCGAUUAUUAUAGGUCUCCUGAAAAAAAACAAAACAAAUAAUCAUAUUCAAUUCAAUAAACAUGAUAAUAACUUAUAAAAUAAAAUGGUUGAACAAACACACCACAAACUGUUGAGCACGGUUGUCAACGAACUGUUGCGUCCCCUUUUGGCGGUCAUGACUCCGCACGUACGUCUCCACAAACAGCUCCAUAGGGCUCGGCUCACGUCCAAGAGACGUAGCCUAUAUAUAAUGAAAAAAAUGUAUUAACAACAAAUUAAUUGAACGAUAUAUUUCAUUUAAAUUAAUCUUACCAUCCAUUUCGCAUGUGCAGCAAACGGAGCCGUCGGUGUGCGUUGUAACCGAGCCAUGAAUUUGCCGAUUCCGGUUGUCGGCACCGGACUGUGAGCGUCGAGUGAACCGCUCAGACGUCACGUGCUGAAGAUAGUGCGGCCAUAUAUCUUCCGGGAUGUAUAUUGGUUUGAAAUCCCUCCAAACCGCAACAUCGUUCCAACCUUGUAACCCCUUAUCCCUCGCUGUUUUUUUUGCUUUUUUCUGGGCGUCAUACCAAAAAUCACGCAACCUAAUUCACGCACGAAAAAAUUACAUUUCGAAACAUAAAUAAUUAUGUAAAAAAAAGUCGUAUUGUUUUCGAUGUUACCUAAUUGCCGCGUGAUUUUCCCACACCCUCCUCACAACAGUGUCAUGUUCAUCAUCCCAGCAGAAUCGAUGUUGUAUAUAAAAAAAUAAUUUUUUAAAAUGUUAAUAAUUUAUUUACAAUUAUAACUUGAAUUUAUUAGAAAUAAGCUGAAAAUUAUAUAUUAACACGAACCUCAAAUCUACGAAACCAUGUAUUGAUUUGAGGCAUCCAUUCAGGAUGUCUGGAUAUAUGACUCCAUUGAAACAAUGGAAUCUCCAUCGACGCUUUAAACGCCGAUGAUAUUAAUCGGGCGACCUCAAUGUUUGUGAACCUGAAAAGAAAUGAAAUUAAUUUGUGAUUACUUCAUAAAUUAUGUUUUAAAUUUGUUUUUUUUUAUAUAAAAAAAACUAAAACCUUAACAAACUUACAUUGAAAGAUCGUCCUUCCACUGUGCCUCGAACUGGUGGGUAAAUUGAUUCCGCUUCGAAGGCAUGCCGCGUCUGCGAUGUGAAACAUCGCUGGAAGAGGCAGCAUCGGUUGACGGCCCAGGUGGUGUAGGUGCCUCUUCUUGAGAGGCACCUAAGGAAACAUCAUCAUCGCUGCUAGACGAACUUGAUUCGACUGGACGACCAGCUCUGGUUUUCAUUUUGCGCAUCUAAACAAUUUUAUAUUAAUAAUUGUAUAAUAAAAUUCAAAAGUUAAAAAAAAAUCGGCAGCACCUCCCCUAUACUGGAUACUACCCAAAUCCACAAACCUGCAAAUAUUAACAAUAGCCACAACCAAUCGAACCAAUCUAUAUGACAAAAAAUAUAUUCAAUAAUUAUAUUCAAAACAAUAAAAAAUAUGACAAAAAAUAAAUUCAAUAAAUUCAACAAAUUAUAAUUCAACAAAUUAAUCAUUUUAAUUCAACAUUAACAAUUAUAAUUCAACAAAUUAAUCAAUAAUUAUAUUCAAAACAAUAAAAAAUAUGACAAAAAAUAAAUUCAAUAAAUUCAACAAAUUAUAAUUCAACAAAUUAAUCAUUACAAUUCAACAUUAACAAUUAUAAUUCAACAAAUUAAUCAUUAUAAUUAUGACAACAAAACAAUAAAAAAUAUUCAAAAAAAAAAACCUACAUCAAUAAAAGGAACGAAAUAAACAUACCUUAAUAAUGUGACAAAUUCAAUCACCGAUGGAAUUAAUAUCCGUCGGUAAAAGGUAAAAAUUCCGUCGGUAACAGGUCAAAAAUCCGUCGGUAUUUUUUGAAUUUCGCCCCGAAUUUUUAAAAGCCCUCCAUAUUUUUCACAGUCCGUCGGUGAUUCCGUCGGUAAUCUGACAAGUUCAGAGGCGCAUUAAUUCACACACUUUGGAAAUCGCGCGGUCCGUCGGUAUUUCUGUCGGUAAUAUGUGUGACCGACAAAUUACCGACGGACCUAUUCUGUCGGUGAACCCGUCGGUGAUUGUGGCAUUUUGUUCUAAAUAUUUUCGAGCUUACUGUGAGAUGCCGACGGAAUGGUUGUCCGUCGGUAAUGUCGUCGGUGAGUGUGGCAUUUUAUUGUAAAUAUUUUAGAACUCUCUGUGAGAUACCGACGGAUGGUUGUCCGUCGGUAUUGACGUCGGUGAUUGUGGCAUUUUGUUGUAAAUAUUUUUGAACUCUCUGUGAUAUACCGACGGAUGGUUGUCCGUCGGUAUGGACGUCGGUGAUUGUGGCAUUUUGCAGGAAAGGUUGUCUUUGUAUUGCAUGUUUACCUUCCUGCAAUAACUUAACUGAUAAACUGUCUAUCACAUAAAACAAUAACCACAUUGCUUAAACAAUAAAUAUUUUGUUUUACAAAAUACAUCAUCAAUAAUCUAAAUUACAUGAGACAAAUGUUUUUACAUAGGGCUUCAUUUUCAUAAUUAGUCGGAAUUUUCUUCUUCUUCCUCGUCAAUUGAAUUGUCAUCAUCUUCAUCGCAAUCUUCAAUAUGGAUAUCAUCUUCUUCAUCGACAUUUGCUUGUUCGCUAGAGCUGAGAACAACAUUCAACUCCUCUCCGUCAAUAUCAACAAGACUAUCAUCGAGAACUCGAAAAUUUGAAUUUUCUUCCAAUUCAAUCGAAGGAGCAACUCGAUAUGGUUCAACCAACUCACGAACUUGAAAGACUUCAUCUCGCACACUUGUGUCUUCGUUCUCAUCCUGAACAACCUCGACACGACCCCGUGGUUUCGUUUUUAAAACGGACAACCAAUCAACUCUUGAACGAUCCUUUCUAAAUGAAGGGGUGUAUGUGUAAUAAAUUUGUUGACAUUGCUUUGCGAAAACAAAGACAUCAUUUAUGUUGCGGAGUCUAGCUUUUGAGUUGAUUUCGACCAGACCAUGGUGCAGAUCAACUUUGAUUCCUCAGUUCGUCGUGUCAUACCAAUAGCAUUUGAAUAAAAACACUUUAUUCUGCUCGCUAUGAUAUUGCAGUUCGACGACCUCUUCUAAUCUACCAUAGUAGUCAACUUCUAACUGGCUACUUGUGGAUCCCUUAACACAAACACCGCAGUUGUAUGUCUUUCUUCCUUGCCCGUAUUCUUCAGUAUGGAAAACAUAUCCAUUGACAAAAUACCCGUUGUAGCACUUAACUUUUCUUUCAGGGCCGAGGCUUAGUGAAGACAAUGACUUGGGCGCACUCCUUCCCAUUUGAUAAACCUUGUAAAUAUAUGUAAUUAAAUGUACAUCAAUACACGGUAAAUGAACGAGAAUCUCGUAAUGACAUGCAUACGUUAGAAUGAGUUUGUGAUAGUGCUUACAUGUGUUCUGAACCAUGUGGCAAAUUGUUCAUCUUGUAAUUGAAAGAUCUGGGAUUCGGUCAGCUGCGAGUUAUUGGAGAGCAAAUAUUGUCGAUGUUGCCUGCAAGUGAUAAUGAGUGUAUGAUAUUACAAUAUAUAAUUAACAGUAUAUUACUGACAAAGUUUAAUUAGUAUUACACAUAUAUAGACUUACUGAAUAAAUGGUCUCAGCUCAUCACAGUUAAAUAGAACAUAGUUGUGUGCUUGUUUGAAUUCUAUUUCCGACAAAUAUCUUCCUCUUACGGCAUUUUUAGGUGUGGGUCGUCCAGUAUUGGAGAAUAUUGACAAGUUCCCACUGGAAGGCACUUCACCGCCAUCGUCAUGCCGUGGAACGCGAUUGAUUCUUGUUCUCAGAUGAGGUUCGAAAUAGUACGAGAUAAAUGUUGAUAUCUCUUCAACAAUAUAGGCCUCAGAUAUCGAAGCCUCAACAUGCGCCUUGUUCUUAACCUUUUUUUUUAGAUUAAACAAGUACCUGCAUUGAAGUACAAUUCAAGUAUUUUCAAAUAAGAAAAACAUAGAAAAUACUUUAAGAUAUGAAUUCCAUUGCAACUGUAAUAUCUCACCGUUCGAAUGGGUACAUCCAUCUAUACUGGACCGGUCCUCCAGCUUUUGCCUCGAACGGUAGAUGUAUAGGGAGAUGCUCCAUUGAGUCAAAAAAUGAAGGAGGGAAUAUCAUCUCAAGUUUGCAUAGUGUCUCGAUGAUAUUCGUUUGAAGCAUCUCAAUGUGCUCAACAUUCAUCUUGCUGGAGCAUAUAUCUCUGAAGAAAUGACUGAUCUCCGUUAGUGCAUCCCAUAUUCCCUUUGGCAACAAAUCACGAAAAGCUAAUGGGAUGAGUGUUUGCAUAAACACGUGGCAGUCAUGGCUCUUCAUUCCAUACAAUCUGCAGUCCUCUAUGUUAACAAGCCUUGAUAUGUUCGAUGCAUGUCCAUCCGGGAAACGCAGACUCUUAAGCCAUUUGUAGACUAGCAGUUGUGCGUUUUUCUCUAACACGAAGCUUGCCCUUGGUUUUGCAACCCGUGACUCGUCAUAAACCAACUCCAUAUUUUUACGGUUACAGUAUAAAGCUAUAUCCAAUCUAGCCUUCAUGUUGUCCUUUGUCUUCCCCUUCACAUCCAUGACGGUGUUGAAAAUAUUCUCAAACACGUUCUUUUCGAUGUGCAUGACGUCAAGGUUAUGGCGGAGAAGAUUAGUCUUCCAAUACGGAAGCUCCCAAAAGAUACUUCGCUUUACCCAAUUAUGGGUCAAACCAAAACCAGGAAACUUUUGCUUACCUGAUUGAAGGCCAAACACAAUGUCACCGUACUCUGAUACAACAUGAUGCAAUUCUUCACCAGAAAGACGCGGGGAUGCAACAUCUUUUUCAACUCUACCAACAAAGAAAUCUUUUCUGUUCUUUCUGAACCUGUGAUUAAGUGGCAAGAAGCGACGGUGACAGUCAAAAAAAGAAGCUUUACCUCCGUUUGCUAGCGUGAAUGCCUUGUUGUUUUCCAUGCAGUAUGGACAUGCGAGUUUCCCAUGCGUGCUCCAACCAGAAAGCAUUCCAUAAGCUGGAAAAUCACUGAUAGUCCACAUCAAAGCCGCCCUCAUAAGGAAAUUUUGUUUCCUCGAUAUAUCAUAAGUCAGAGAUCCGGAGGACCACAACUGCGCCAGCUCAUCUAUCAACGGUCGAAGACAAACAUCUAUAUUCCGCCCCGGGCUGCUUGGACCGGGUAUGACAGUAGAUAGAAACAUGAACUCCGGCCUCAUACACAUUCCCGGUGGCAAGUUAUAAACUGUGAGAAUGACCGGCCAACAAGAAUAGGGAGCAGCAAAUGACCCAAAUGGGUUGAACCCGUCUGUACACAACCCAAGUCGAACAUUCCUUGAUUCAGCAGAAAAGUCAGGAUGAACACUGUUAAAGCGUUUCCACGCUUCGCCGUCAGAAGGAUGCACCAUCACACCAUCAACGACAUCGUGUGUUUGGUGCCAUGUCAUGUGCUCAGCAGUCCUUGGUGACAUAAAUAACCUCUGCAGUCUAGGUGUGAUCGGAAAUAUCUAAGUUUUUUAUGCCACUAGAGUCUUCCCCCUGCCAGUUCUGGGUUUGUAACGGGAAUGCCCGCAUGUCAUGCACUCGGUCAUCUCAGCAUUUUCAAGGUAGUAUAACAUGCAGAAGUUAGGGCACAUGUCAAUUUUCUGGUAUCCUAAACCGAGGGGUUUCAUCAUGGACUUCGCAGCAUAGAAGUUCUCUUUGAGCCUGUUCCCUUCUGGUAAAAUGCUUCUUGCCCAAUCAAUAAUUUUGUCAUACCCGGCCUCACUCAACCCGUGAUCUGACUUGAUGGUGAACACCUGUGCCACGCCGAUAAUUUACUGUGGUUUGUGCAGCCAUCCCAUAAUGGUUCGUCAGAAUCUUUCAACAAAUCAAAAAACCUAGCUGCCUCUGCAUUAGGUUCUUCUUCUACGAUUGGACAUUGAUUGACAUUAUCUUGAUUCAUUCUCAUUGCAUCCAUAACCAUGUUUCUGUAAGGAUUAGUGUUGUCAUUUGCCGCUUCAUGCACGUUGCUAGCACUAGAAGUUGACCCAACCACCGUUUCUCCCAUUCUCCUAUUACUAACAAAUACCUCUCCAUGUGCAUACCAACACUCGUAAUCCUCCACAAACUCUUUAUGUAGAAGAUGCAUCAUUACAACAUCUAGAUGCAGAUACUUUUUAUUUUGACACUUCCUGCAUGGACACCUAAUACCGCCUCCAGUAAAAUUUCUGGGAAUAGAUGUUGCGAAAUUAAUAAAACCCUGAACCCCGUUACAAUAAUCCAUCAUCUGCAAUCCUUGGGGUGAAUCUAGAUACAUCCAUGAACGAUCAUCCAUGACUUCUAUCGAACCUCUAUAAAAAGGACCCAUUAAUUAAGCAAGCUCUUAAUUAUUUCAAAACAUAACAUGUAAUUCGGUAAUUCUACAAAUUAAGUUUUAACAAUUUUCAAACAAAUACAAUCUUACAAAAUCUAAAACAAACCAUAACAAGUAUAAAAUUAUACAUUCAUAUACUACAAGUUUGUUUGAGAAAUAACAAUAAAACAUGUACAUCUACUAAAAAAUAAUAAUACAUAUACUAAAAAAAAAAUUUGACAUUUAAAUGUUAAAAUUUUAAAAGAUAGAAUUACUUACAAAAAAUGAUAAAAUCCGUCGGUAAAUCAGAACACGGAUGCUGUGACCACAAAACAAAUACAACUUGUUGUGCUGAGAUGAGGAAGAUUUUUGUUUUGGGGCGAGGGGGGUGGUUAUUUUGCAGAUGGGGAGGGUUAGGAUUAGGAAGAAGAAGGAGAAAUGGGGGAGGAGAGUGUCGGCAGAGUGGCCAUAUAUUCACUUUUGCUGACGGACUUACCGACGGUUUGGAUUCCGUCGGUGAAUCCGUCGGCAAAACCGUCGGUAAUUCUGACGGGCAAUCGACACGUCACCGCACGGACCUGCUAUUCAAAUCCCUCGGUGAUUCCGUCGGUAUUUUUAACGGUGCACCGGUCACGUCACCGGUACGGAUCUGGCAUUUCAAAUCCGUCGGUGAUUCCGUCGGUAUUUUUUGACGGUGAACAGGUCCCAUCACGCGUACGGGCCCCAGUUUUAAUUCCGUCGGUGAUUCCGAAAAUCACCCGCCAAAACCUCGCGCCACUGCCCGCCCUUUUUUCAUUAAUUCUGAAUUUUCGGUCGGUAAUUACCGACGGAUAGUCCGUCGUAAUUACCGACCGAAUUACCGACGAAAUAUUCCGUCGGUGAGUUCGACCGAAAAAUACCGACAGAAAAAAUUCUGUCGGUGAGUCCGUUGGUAUUUAGCGAAUUUCUGGUAGUGUAUGUAAAUCAAGAUAAAUCAUCUUGCAAAUAAUAUUAUUAAUAUCUGAAAUGUAUAUUAAAUGUUAUUCCCUCACUGAGUUGGUUGAACUCACCUCUCAUUUUUAAUAUUAUUUCAGGUUCUUAGUUUCUGGGACUUUGUUGAGUGUUUCCGCUUCUUCAGUUCUGGUCGGUAUGCCUUGCUUGUUCGCGAGGCUUUCCUUUUAGUUUUGAUUUGAUAUCUUAGACGCUCCACUGUUACCUUGGUUUAAUUAAAUUUGGAUUUUGACAAUGUAAUGAGUAUUAUGAAUUAUUAUUUUUGUUUUAAUAACUAUCUUUCGGUUUCAUCAGUAUUUGAAUAAUAUAAUAUUUCUGAAUAUUAUGAGCCGCUGCGUAUUUUUGAACAAAUUAUUCUUUUGAUAUGUCCGUUCUGAGGCUUAGCCUAGGUGAGGUGUCCUUUCGACACCACUCCUACGUUGCCGGUCACGAAUCCGGGAUUCGGGUCGUGACAAAUCACCUUAUGGAUACCCAGAUUUCCAGUGCCUGGAAAUGGUUUAAAAAGAUUUUGUUUUGAGGUAAUGCAAAUCACAUCUCUAGUUGUUACUGGAUUUAAUAAAGUUACUUUAUACAGUUGAAAUUACUCGCUGCUUUCCUCUUGAAUCAUUAAUCCUAAAUGAUUAAUCAUGGAUAGUUUAAUAUAUCAGUGAAACUAGAUCAUUGACCGAGCUCGUACAGGCUAUACUAAAAAUUUUAUAAACAAAAAAAUAUGUAAGGAUUGAUAAUGUAUUUUUUUGUCAAACCGAAAUGUAAAACCAAAGGGGAAAAAAAUAAAAAAAAUUUAUUCAUUUUUCUUCCUAUUACGUUGAGCACCCUUAAAGUAAUCUGCAAUUGUCAAAGAACCUGAAUACAUAAUAUGAUUUCAGAACUCGUAUCUGUGUCCCAUGAACCCAUGGUUAUAAAUUUCAACGUUAGCAAAAAUUAUAUUCAAUUAUUAUUUUUUAAAUAUAUAAGUUUGAUAGUGAUUUUAUAUUUUAUUCUACACUAGCACGCGGGUUUGGCAAGCGCCGGAAAAAUCAAGGUGGAAUGUUAAGCGUGCUCCUGUAAUUCGGUAAUAAUUUUAGUUAAGCUCUCUAAUUAUUUACUUGUAAUUACAGUAAUUUUGUUUUCCUAAUUACCUGCUCUCUUCUAGUGCUUCUGAUUGAAAUUGAGUUAGGAGUUGAAGACCCUUAAGUGCAUUGGAUUGCCCAUCUAGAAGUUGUUUCUGUUUAUCCAAAGACUUCCCAGCCAUGUUCUCAAUGUCAUCAGCUGUGUUUUGUAAAGUUUCCAUCUUUGAAGACAUUGUGUCUCCAACUCUGCCAAUCUGCUUCUCUAUUUCCACAGCUUCGUUUCUCACAUUGUCUACUUCUUGGCCCAGAUUGGUGUAAGCAUCAUGAAGCAUCGACAUCCCUUCCUUCAAAUUGUCAUUCAUUUUUGCUUGUCCCUCUUGCAGCUCUGAUUGAGAAUGUGCAAUUUCCUUGGAAUGCUUAUAAACAGCUUCAGAGUGCUUAGAUAAAACAUCCAUGUGAUCCUUUGCAUCUUUCGUUGUUUGAGCUACAUUUUCAACCUGAAUAUCAAUAGAACUCAAUGAAUCCUGAAUUUGAUUCGAUCUCUGCAACAGGACAUGUGUUUUUCCUCCAAUAAUUUCUAACUGUUCUUCCGUGUAUUCUGCUGAAUUUUUAAGAUCAUUCACCAGUCUCUCCAUUUUAUGGUUGAAGGCAUGGGCCCUGUAGGCAAUAGCACAUAAAAAAAUCCUUGUUAGUUUCUGUCACAUCGUAUAAAACAAGAGAAGAACGGUCAGAACAGUGAAAGAAACUAUACUUAACUGUCACUGAUAGCAGAUAGAAUUGGUUUCCAGUGAGAAUUCAAGAUAAACCUUGUGCUCAUUGUCAUUCAACCUUUUGAGACAAUUAACCAUGGCAGAUUUUGUGUCACAAUAAGGGAAAGCUGGCCGUCCAGAGUCCUUUUGAAAGCAAUCACUAAGGUGCCAAGCAAAUCUCCACCGCUUCUCCUCGACGGCGAGAAUCUGCGAGCAGCCGGCAAAGAGAUUCUGGUAAGCAUUCUGCCAACAAGAAUUCGUGCCAACCAUUUUACUUUCGGCUUUUUCGACCAGUUUCAUCCCCUUCCCAUCACUAAGACCAUUCAUAGAAAAUUCCACCACAGAACCACGGGGCAAACCGUUUGUCUGUGAAUUAUCAUGGAGAGAGUCUCUGUUGAAGAAGAGAACCAACCCCAUGAUUGACAUCUUAAUGUAAGUGAGAUUAAAAUUACGAGAAACAAAAUCUGACUAUAAGAACCCAUUAAUUAUAUCUUUUCUUCCUGAUUUUGUUACUCUACUUUCUGUAUCUUCCACCAGAAGACUGAAACCUGCAGUACACAGUAUAACAAAUUAGCAGAUGCUUCCAAUGCUAAAGGCAUAUACACAAGUCUUGUAUUUAUGUAUAAACAAAGAGGUGGAGAAACUUGGAGUGCAAGAAAAGGAAAAGGCACGAUUUUAGCAUGAAAAGGACUGUUUGAAAGUGAAAUUAAAAGUGUAGAAAAUAGAAAAGAGACAGAGACUUCCAAAGAUUAAAAAGAAAAGAAAAGAAAAGUAGAAAUGGUCAAAUAGUCUCUUAAAACAUUCUACGAUAUUCCAAUAAUCAAAGAUGAGAUAACUUCAAGAAUUCUAAGGAAAUCAAAACAGGACAUAGUGUCAUAUCUUCCCAUUAAAUUAGCAGCAUAUCAACUAUUUUAAGAAAAUUAAGUCAAAAUUAAGAAAAUUCUUUAAAAUCAUAACCGUUUCAAUUAACCGUUUCUUUGUUUUCUCUCUUUUUUCUAAUUUCCUUUUACAAUUAAUUACUUAUAUGAUGGAUUAACAAAUGGAAAGAAAGAAACCAUAAGUAGCAAAAAGGGAUCCCCUCUUUAUCUUCUAUCACUUGAUUUCUUUUCUUAACUUCUUCUCCAGCUACCCCUCCCUCCUUUUCUCAUAUACAAAGCUUCUGCUACCUUUUUUAUCCUUUAAAAAACCAAAAAGCGGGCCAUGUUCAUGUUUAAAGUUUUGAUACGAUUAUCCUUGGAGCCUUAACCUGAAUUAUACGUAAAAAACGAAGAAAUUAAAGAAAGUCCUUGAAUGAGAGAGAGAGAGAGAGAGAUGGUGAGAGCAUACAUACUUGUUUGUGAAUGCUCACCGGGUGGGGGUGGGGGUGGGGGUGGUAUUAAGAGGAUAUAUAUAUAUAUAUAAAGUGAAGUGAAGAGACAUGAUGCUUUGAUUAAUUUGGAAAAUUAAUGAUGUUUCGAAAAGUCACUUUCCAUGACCGACAUUAAUCUUUCCUUUCCAUGUUACACCAGGUUUUAUAUUUUUUCCUUUUACGUUUAAUUCGUUUUCAAAAUUAACCCAAGAUUUCAGAACGUUGCAAUAUUAAACCUCAACGUCACAAAUGAUCUACUGUAAUUUAAUUUUAAGGCCUGAUUAAAUACCCAAGUUAUUAAAACACACUUGUUCCCAGCAGAACACAAUGUUUAAGGGGGAGAGAGAUCAUCUUGCAUGCAUAAAAUCGAAGACGUGUACUGUAACAGAUAUAUUGUUGUGUUGCAAACAGAUUUCAAGGUUCUAUAUAAAUCCAAGAACUUUUUAUGCACCAACUGAUGAUAUAAUUAUAAGUUAGAGUAAUUAUUGAAACCCUCCCAUAAUUAUUGGAUUUUGUUCCUUAACUUCCACCUAACGGAUUCAUCAUUCUGCUACUUCCAAAUCCAUUCAAGAAAUCUCAAAAGUCCAUUUGAAAUGAACAAAGGAUGCAUUAACCGGUUGAGAUGAAAAUCUCUCAACUAGAAUGAAAAGAUCCUUAUACCUCCAAGGUCUGAUAUGCGGUUUAUUCCUACCACCUGUAUUACCAGAAUGGAAUGCGCUAGUUCUAAGAUGCAGAGUCUGUGUUCGAACAAUGAUUUAUGGAAGCACAGGUACGUGGAGGAGCUUGGAAAUGCGUCCGAAACACAAAGUUUUGGCAACUGGAAAACUAGAUCAAUUCUCUAGAUAUCGAUGUUUUCUGCUAGAUCUUAUGGCAGCAUGAAGUCCACUAAUUUUGUCUGUGAUUGUAACUAUUUGGAUUGUUAAUUUUUUUAAAAAAAGUUUAUGUUCAUAAAUCGCCGGUCUUGCAAAUUGAUAAACCUUUGUUCGAAUGAUAUCGUAGAUUAAAAGGCUUAAAGGAAAUCUUUGUUUGUGUUGCAUAUAUUAAGAGAGUUCUUGAUGCCGGACAAAGAGAGAUUUGAAGAGAAGGGGAGAAGGGAGAGAAAGAACGAAGAGGAGAAGAAGCUGGGAAGAAGAGGAGGAGAGGAGAGAAGGGAAGGGAAGAGGAGAAUUGAACACUACAUUUUUUCUUUAAUUCAUCUAUAAACUGAUAAAUCAAAUAAAGCCCAAUCAAAUAGGUUUAAAGCCGAAACAGAGGGGUGGAACGGGAGUGUCUAAUGAAAGAAAACUCUAUAAGGUCGCGUGGAAUACUCUUUCAAAUCCAAAACAGAUGGAUGGAACUGGUUUGGGUUCUCGCAGAAGGUUUCGGUCUUGGGGUGAUUGCUUUUCCAAAUUUGCACCAAUCAGUUCUGCAUCAGCUAGCAAUGAUUUCGAAAAUGGGAGCUUGACAAGCUUCAGAGUGGACCAGGGCUUUAUCCAUGAGAGAAAGAGGAUGAAACUCGUCCUCAAUCAAUGCUUUCAGCACCAUAUUUACACCAAGAUAGGGUGGUUAUACUGUGAAAUCUUGUAGCGCAGUUGUGGCUGGGUUUUUGCUUCCAUGUCAGACCAUGAACAUCCCCAAUGUAUGGAAACCUACCGCUCUCCCAAAGGUAGAAUUCUUCACUUGGCUGGCUGUUCUUGAUAGACUGAACACAAAGGUAGAAAAUGUAUGUUGCUGCUGUCAAACUGAGGAAGAAUCACUCCACCAUCUACUACAACACUGCCAGCAAGUUUGGAGGAUUUGGAAUCAUGCAUGUGUUCAGUUGGCGAGGAUCAACUUAUACCCUUCCUAAAUCAGCAAGUGGUUUGUUUCAGCAAUGAAGGUUCUUUGCAAGAGGUGGAAAACAAGGUAUUUCCCACAUGAUUUUCUCUCUUUCUUCAUUUUGAUAUUUCAAUUAUUAAAAUAAAGUAAUAAUAUUACUCACACAAUACCAUAAAAUUCAUCGGAAUUUAAAAUUUUUAAUUUAGAAAUUUUGGCCAUGCAUGGUCUACAACCGUGAAAGAGGUCCCAGAAAAACACGAGUCCAAAGCUACUUGGACUUCUCCAUAAAUCAAGUGGAAAAUUGAUAGAUCAGCAGGAAAACUAACGUAGCAUUUCGUUAAAAAUAAACUCUAUUUUCGGCUAUUCCUCAAACAGUGUUUUAAGAUUGUAAGGCUUCACGAUGUCAAGACUUCCACUCCACAUUAGCUUCGCAAAUUGAUUGUUGGCACUCUCAGUUGGAUGAGCCGGAUCAAAGAAGAAAUAUUCACUUGCAUUGUCGCAUAAUUGAUAUCCUUUCUGACCACAAGUAGGGAAGCUUCUGUAAGGACCACUGCCACAACAUGCCUCUUGAACCUCCUUGAAACCUUCAUAUAUAGAGAAAUCACAUUUAAAUUCAUAACAAGGACAGGAAAUCUAUAUAGGGACCUUGAUUUUAAUUAUUUAAUACUUAUAGACAGGCAUUACCAUAUUUUUAUUAAUUCUCUCCCUUCCUGCAACAUAGGCAUCAAAAAUUGAGUAUCUAAAUCCUUCUAGUUGUCCCUCAAGCUCUUUGAGUGCUUUAGGGAGUGCUCUGUUGUGUAGUUUUGCAAACAUUGUAGCUUCAUCCAAGCAACCUGACACCCCUGUUCUUUCCUGUUUAGCUGCUCUCAAGGAUGGUAGACAACCCAAAGCAAUCAACGUUGACAAUCCAAAUUUCCUUCCUCCUAUCUUGUAUAUUUCCUGGAACAGUACAAUUACGCAAUCAUAAUCCAAGAUCAACUUGGAAAGAAGAGAAAGAAUGGUUCUUUAGCAUGCUAAAUUACUUGGAUCACUGUUGUUAUAUUGCCAAUAACCAUCCCAACAUACUCUUCUCUUGAAUAUAAUUGAAGCAAACUGUGCGUUGGUGUUAGAGCUGCAAAGUAGUCAUUGCCUCCAAUGCUGAACAUGUAAACUGCUGUGGACAGCAAGUUUUUAGCUUCUGCUUCACCUAGUUGAAGCCUUAACUGCCUUUUCAUAUGCUUGAAAUAGCUUAGUUGAGUGCUAAGGUUUAUCACCUUCAAAGAAAAGGGGAAAAAAUGAAAAACCGAAAAAAAAAAAAAACAGUUAUGGAACAUAUCUAAGACAGUAAACUUUGUGUUCUUGACAUACCCAUCCAUGAUGAGUUUCAACAAGAGCACCAGCUCCAGAUGAUGCAAAGUUCACUCCAUUUAUAAAUCGAUGAUUACUGGAUUGUAGAUGUUGUUGUAUUUCAGAGCUUAUCACCUUGAAAACAAUCAUUGAAUCUCAUUAUUCCUUUAGAAGAUUUAAGAGAGAUCUCGAGUUUAAUUAAUUUAUAAAAAGACGAAAAGUGGUGGGGAUCAAUAACAUUGAAGACCCCACCAAGAAAAAACAACAUCAUGAUGACAGACAUACCAUUCCUUGGAGAUUUUCAGCGAGAACAAGAUCCCCUUUUGACUCAAAGUUUUCUCCAUCCAUAAAUUGAUGGUUACCAGGUUGUAGAUAUGGCGGAAUUAAAGGUAAAUUUGCAUAUUGAGCUGUCACAAAACAUUUCAUAAAAAUAAGAAAAGAAAGAACAAAAAAGAAUGAAUUAAAGUGCUCUUAACUGUAAUGAUCUUACCAAUAAAAUCUGGAAUUAAUCGACCAUCACAAGGCCUUCCUGUGGGAUGCUUGAAGAAGGUUCCAUACCAUACAGAAAUCUGAAAAGAUAGGAGCAUCUUCGAUGUACUUGUUGUUUCCAGCAUCAUAUAAUGAAUCUCCAAAGAUAAAUAAGGCAACAUGCUUAGAACCAUGGCAGCUUCUUGCAACCAGAAGGCUUGCACAAAACACCAAGAAACAAUUCUUAAUAUUGGACCUUGAAAUACUGUUAUAUAAUUGUAUAAGGAUUGAUAAUAUAUUUUUUAGUUAGAAAGAAAAAUUUAUUUGUAAAUUUAAAAUUUGAAGUAUAUAUUUAAUAAAAUAAAUUAAAAAUUAUAAGUGCUAAUAAAUAUAUAAAAAAUAAGUUGUCAAGGUGAAAACAAAUACAAAUUAAAAUAUUCGAUUUUACAUUAUAAAGAACCCUUCAAUUAUUUAUAUUUAAUUAUAUAACAGUAUUUUAAUUAUAAAAAUAAUAAUUUAAAUUUUGUUUAAACAAAAUAAUUUUCUAUUAUAUUUCCUUCUUUUAUUAAUACUUUUAAUUUCAGUAAAAAAAAUUAACUUUUUGUUGCUUGUCUUUCAUUUAAUAAAAAUUAAAAGAAAUUAGAAUACAUAUCCAUAGGAUUUUGGAUGAUUUAAAAUAAAAAAAAAAUAUCUCUCUAAUUAGAAUCUGUUUGCCUAGCUGACACGCUCAUUUAAAAAAAAAAAUCUUUAUCAGAAUAUUUAAUUUUUAGAUAUUAUUUUAUCAUUAUCUUAAAACAAGUUUGAAUGAUUAUAAAACACAUUUUGAUAACCUAGAAAAUAAUAAUUUAAUAAACAUCCUUAAAACUUAAAAAAAUAAUAAUUUAUUAGCCCAAAAAAACCUAAAACAAUUGUCCAAAAUAAAAAAAGUAAAAAUCAUGAAAAAAAGUUUUCUUUAUCUUUUGAGUAGUUUUUAAUAUCUUGAGCUCUACCUCACUUGUCUCUGAUGAUUGAUUAUUAUAAAAAAUUUCUAUAGCUCCCAAUUUCCAAGAUUAUAGUAUGAGGCGACAAGGCAAGUGGCUGUGUUUUUUCAAAAAUACAAUCAAAGGCAGUAAGACACGAUUAUGCUGAAAAAAUUCUUAUGGUAAGCUUUGGUUGGUUUAGAAAAAUAUGCUUGAUUCAUCACGUUUCUCCACCAAUAAAAGUGUUGGCAUGAAAACAAGUAGAAUUAAUGAGAUUGUGUAUAGAAAAAUAUAUAAAAUAUUUGCACAAUAAAAAAAAGAAUAGAAGAAAAAAUAUAUAAAAUAUACAUAAAAAUAAAAAAUAUAUCUAAAAAGAACCUAAGUAUUUUUUUGGCUGGGCUCGAAAUCAUACCCAACUGUCUAGAUCCGAUAGUUUUUAUUUUAGCUGAUAUGAUCAUUAUGAUUGUAAGAAAUUGUUCAAUAAGAGUUAUUAUCUUAUAUAAGAUUUAAAAAUUCAAAAUCUUUAUUUUAUAACUUCUAAGUUUUGAGUACAUUAUUAUUAUUAUUAUUAUUAAUAUAUGAAAUGAAUGACUAUUAAAGUUAUUAAUUAGAUGUUAGACUGGUGGCGGAAAUCGUAAUGGCGGCUAAUAUUUCAAGUCGGCUUGAAUAUUACUGCUCGACGGCUUAGCUAGGUAGAUAGCUCAAGCUCAACUCAAGCGGGUGAAAUAUGAUUGUUACAGAUUGUAACAGCUAAAUCCAGCUAGAGAGGAGUAGGAAUCCAGGAAAAAAACAAUCAACGGCUAGGAUUGGGUUGGGUAUUUGAGAAUGGGUCCGCUUCCUGUCCAGGAGAGAGGGGGGAAGAAGACUUGGUUGGUUUUCUUUCUCUCUCCACAAGGCAAGGAAAAAAAUGAAAUCAAGGUUGUCAAUUCUAUUUUGAUAUGUAUUUUAUUUAUUUAAUUGAAAUGAAAUAUUUUAGUUUUGAAGUAUUUUAAUAUAUUAUUUUGGAGUUGUACUGUUUAUAUAUAUAAUUCAAAUUAAUUAAUUAUAACAUAAUUCAAAUUUAAGAUAAAUUAAUUAUAAAUUAUGCAAUACAAACACAAUGCCAAACAAAUAUAAUUUCAAAAUUUAAAAUAUUUUUAAAUAGUCAAGAUUAAAUAAAUCUUUAACUUAAAGUAAUUCAACUUAAACAAAAUAUCAAAAUAUUAUGAAAGUAAAAUGUUUUAAUAAAAAUAUUUUAAAUAUAAAAUUAGGUUAAUGUUAUCAAGUGGUUAAUGGAAUCUAAAGCUUCCCUUGUUUUGCUCAAAUUCCUACAAAGUAUAAAUAUGAAAAAAAAAAUAACAUGAAUAUAAACCAUAUAUAUUAGUGAUAAAUCUAAUUUUAAAAAAUUAAUAUUAUUGUUAAUGAAAAUAGUAAUAAUAAUUUUCAAUAUUAUUAUUAAUAUCAUUGCUAUUGAAAAUAGUAAUGAAAAAGAGCUUUUUUAUAAUCAGGUGGUUUAAUUAAUGAAAUUAAGUAAGGUUCAAUUUGAUUCAAUGACUUUUUAAGAGUGGAACGAAACAUGUGGAAUGAAACUGGAACGUUUCGGGCGAAAUUUAGCUGAAAAAUCCAGAAUGGACCGAGAUUUAAAAUUAGAUGAAAUUUGUUCCGUUUUUUGAAUUAAUAUGGAAUGUUUCGGCCAUUCUGGACGAAACGGAACGGAAUUGACAACCUUUAAUGAAAUAAAAUGAUGGUGGUUUUCUGGGACCCGUGUAUCCCCUGAAAUUGAAAGACCAUACGACCACGUGUUGCCGGUAAGGUCACUUUCAAUAUUCAUCCCCAUCCUCAUCCUCAUCCCUAUGGUCUAAAUUAUAAAACUAAGUCCUUUUAGUUUUGAGAAAUGAAUUAAUUAGUUAUUUUUUAAAAAAAAUAAAUUAUUUAGUCCUUUUUGUUCAUUUAUGUUUUUUAUUUUUUAAAAAAUAAAAGAAAGGAAAUGAAUAAAUAAAUAUUAUAAAAAAGUAACCUGGUCAAUGAACUAGGUAAUUUAUUUUUUUAAAAAAAGAUUAAUUAAUUUAUCUUUUAAAAAUAGAGAAACUGUUUUUUACGAGAAUUCACAUUUUUUUAUAUCCAAUAUGUAUAUUUAUGCUCUAAAACAGACAUCGGUUAUGAGAAGAUUUGACAAAAAUACCGACAACAUUGACAAAAAAAAAAAAAACACUAAUUGAGAAUAUUUUGAAAUGUUUGGAACCUAAUUGAAAAAAUUCAUAGGUUUUAAAUGUAAUUGAGAAUGGAUAUACAAGUUGGAGAGUAACAUGAGGGUUUCCCUAUAAUAGCAUGUUUUAAAUUAUAUAUACUUAUAAUUUUUAAAUUUUAAUUUCAUCGUUUGAUUUUUGAACAAAUAAAAUAUGUAUAAUUGGACCAGGUCUAAAGAUUAGAUGGGAUCAAACCAAUAAGAAGCCUGAGAAAGUCCACGAAGAAAAACCAGCUAACAUUGCAAUGAGGACUUGUUUCAACAGUUAGAAUGACAAAAAACCCAGCUAACAUCGGCAAAUAUAGGUUCAAAUUACCAGUUUACAUACCUGACGUCCACUGUGCAUAAAAAUAUCUGUAUUUAAAAUGAUUUUUAUAUUUGAUCCUAUUAUUACAUACCUAACGUCCACUGUGCAUCAAAAAAUUACCUGGAACUAUUAAAAGAUGUUUUUAUUUAUAAUUUUUUAAAAUAUAAAAACAUGUUAGAGAAGUUGUGUAUAUACAUAUUAUUGCUGAAAAAAAUAUCUUUAUUUAAAAUGAUUUUUGUAUUUUAUCCUAUUAUUUUGUACCAUUAGAGAAGACAACACAAUAAAACUAUAUAGGUGAUGAGACAAAGGGAUAAAAUGGGGAUCCAAAAACAUUUUAAAUAUUUGUUAGUAAAUUAAAAACACCAGAAGCCAAUAAAUUAUAGUGUUGAUUAUAAAAAUAAAGGUAUUAAGUUAUAAUUUUGUUUAAAAUGCAAGGGAUAAAUUUACACCACAUCCAUUUAAUAAUUAUUAUUAACAUAUAUUGAAAGACCUUGAUAUUUCAUUAUAGCAAUAAACAGUGAAAUGUGAUAGCCUUAGUUUGGUCCUCAAGAUUUACUAAAAGAUCUUAGCAUUUUAUUAUUGCAAUGAACAUUAAAAUGCUUUGACCUUUUACAAUUUGAUCCUCGAGGUUUUUUAUUUUAUUUUUUGCAAUUUCAUCUUCUGACAUUAAAUUUAAUGGACAUUGAACUUUAUAGUUUAUUUUGAUUUAUUUUCUAUGAAGUUAUCUUAGUCUUAUAAUCUAAGUUUUAACAAGUUAAUACGAGUUUACUCGACUAUUUUUUUGUAUUUUUUUUUAAAUUUAACUUCAUCCUUCAGUAUUGAGUUGAUUGAGAAUUUGAUUUGAUUUUUUUUUAUUUGUUUUAUAUAGGGUUAUCAUGGUCUCGUGACCUGGAUCACAAGUUUUGCGAGUUAGCCAAUUUGAUUGGAAUUUUUUUAGGUCCUUUGUUCUUUUUAAUUGAAUUUUUUUUUCAAUUUCAUUAUUCAAAUUGAAAAUUUGAAUUCAGAAUUUUUUUUUAUUUCAAAGUUAUCCCGGUCUCAUGAUUGAGGUUUGAUAGGUUAACCGAGUUUGAAUCAAUAUUUUGUUUUUUUUUUAAUUGAUUUUUUUUUCAAAUUAAUCCUUCAACAUUGAGUUGAUUGGAAAUUGUGCUUUAUAAUUUAUUUUUAUUUAUUUUCUAUAGAUUAUCAUGGUUUCAUGACCCAAGUCGCAGGUUGCUUGAUUGCCUCGAGUUUUUUUUUCUUUUUUUUAAUUAUUUUUUUUCAAUUUCAUCCUUCAAUAUUGAGUUGAUUAAGCAUUAGAUUUCAUAAUUUAUUAAGCAUUAGAUUUCAUAAUUUAUUUUGGUUUGUUUACAUGAAGUUAUGACAACCUCAUGACUUAAGUCACAAGUUUGGUUGGUUAACUCAAGUGGUUUUUUCGUGCUCUUUUUUUAAUUGAUUUUUUUUUCAAUUUCAUCAUUUAAAAUUAGAUUGAUUGAGAAUUGAGCUUCAUAAUUUAUUUAAGUUUUUUUCUAUAUAGUUAUCUCAUUCUCAUAACUAAGAUAACCUAGGUUGACUCGACUUCUUUUUCUAAUUGAUUUUUUUUAAUUUUAUUAUUUAAUAUUGGAUUAAUUGAGAAAUGAGCUUAAUGAUUAUUUUUUAUUUACUUCUACAGGGUUAUCAAGGUUUUAUGAUAUGAGUUGGAGAUUUGAUAGGAUAACUUGAGUUGAUUCGAGUGAAUCCAAAUCGAUUUGAGUAAAUCUAAGUAGAUACAAUAUAUUAUUGUCUUACUAUUUUAAAAAUAAUAUCGUGCUGAAUUUUUUUUUGUCAAGUUACAUUUUUACCUGUUAUUUAAGUUGUUUUUAGAUCUAUAAAGUUGAUUAUAUCAUAUCAGGACAGUUUUUAUAUAAUUUAUUUAUUUAUUUUUGCUAGAAAAUAUAUUAAAUAAAUUACUUCAUCAACUUUGCCAAUAAAAACAUGAUAGGUUCGAAUCAUUUUCCAUUUAUAAUAGUGUUUAGAUAAGUGAAUGACCUCAUCAACUUUGCUAUUAAAAACAUAAUACGGGCAACCGUGUGAUUAUGGUUUGGAUCCAGGUCGGGACAAGUGCUGGAGUUCAUGAUCGUGACCACCUAGCAUCUUCGAAUAAUUCUCCUCUAUCACCCUUUUUUUUUUUAAUGCUUGUUUGGAAUAAGUUUUUGAGAUUAGUUGUGAUUAUGAUGUCAUUCUACUGUCAUUAAGAAUAAAUUAACUCUAACCGAGGAUUAAAACAGAUUUAUCAAAUACUUUUUGCACUGUGUCUAGCUAAUGGAGAAUAUAUUGAAAAGAAAAAUACCCUUGAGAAUUCACAGCCAAAAGCGUUAAUCACGUUUCUGUUUAAAACAGGAAAAGGCAUGCAAUAAUUGACAAAUGUUGCUUGAAAUCACAGCUAUCUUCCUUCUCUGAAACUUCAAUUGCUUUAUUAUACUUUUAUAGGCAUAGCCAAGUCAAGCCUGCACCGUGUGGAGCCUAAUCAAUAUAAUCAGAGACUGCUGUUUGCCUUUUCCAUUUUUCAUCUCAUACUGCUCUGUCUUCUCAAUAUUUACUUGCCAUUUCUUGCUCACCUCCCCUGCUUUUAGUUUUCCUUGCACCUUUUCUACCUCUUCUUUUCCAUUCCAAAACAAGCUAUGGCUGAUGCUAUUGUUUCUGCUCUCGCGAGUACAAUCGUGGGGAACUUAAAUUCCUUAUUUCUUCAAGAGCAUGGACUUGCUGGGGGCCUAGAGACUGAGCUUGAAAAUCUCAAGCGCACAUUCAGAACCAUUCAAGCUGUGCUGCAAGAUGCAGAGGAGAAGCAGUGGAAGAGUGAGCCUAUCAAGGUGUGGCUCAGCGACCUAAAGGAUGCUGCUUAUGUUGUUGAUGAUGUACUGGAUGAGUUUGUAAUUGGAGCUAAGUGGCUUCUGCAGCGAAGAGAUCUCAAAAAUCGAGUAAGAUCCUUCUUUUCUAGCAAACAUAAUCCAAUUGUUUUUCGACAAAGGAUGGCUCAUAAAUUGAAGAAUGUUAGAGAAAAACUAGAUGCCAUUGCCAAGGAGAGACAAAAUUUCCACCUAACAGAGGGGGCUGUGGAGAUGGAAGCAGAUAUUUUGUUCAGCGUCAGACUUGGUCUUCGGUGAAUGAAUCAGAAAUUUAUGGAAGAGGCGAGGAGAAAGAGGAACUAAUCAACAUGCUGCUCACUACUUCAGGUGAUCUCCCUAUUCAUGCUAUAAGGGGGAUGGGGGGGCUGGGUAAAACAACACUUGUUCAACUGGUCUUCAAUGAAGAAAGUGUUAAACAACAAUUCAGUUUGAGGAUCUGGGUGUGUGUAUCUACUGAUUUCGAUCUCAGAAGAUUAACAAGAGCCAUCAUAGAGUCCAUUGAUGGUUCCCCUUGUGGUCUUCAAGAAUUGGAUCCCUUGCAACAAUGCCUCCAACAAAAGUUAAAUGGAAAGAAGUUUUUGCUUGUAUUGGAUGAUGUGUGGGAUGAUUAUGGUGAUAGGUGGAAUAAAUUGAAGGAGGUAUUAAGGUGUGGAGCUAAAGGUAGUGCUGUCAUAGUAACUACGCGUAUUGAGAUGGUUGCUCUUAGAAUGGCAACAGCUUUUGUCAAGCACAUGGAGAGAUUGUCUGAAGAAGAUUCUUGGCGGUUGUUUCAACAGCUUGCAUUCGGGAUGAGAAGGAAAGAGGAGCGGGCACGUCUGGAAGCCAUUGGAGUAUCAAUAGUGAAGAAGUGUGGUGGUGUUCCUUUAGCUAUAAAGGCACUCGGGAACCUAAUGCGGUUAAAAGAAAGUGAAGAUCAGUGGAUAGCUGUCAAAGAAAGUGAGAUUUGGGAUCUAAGAGAAGAAGCAAGCAAGAUCUUACCUGCUUUGAGGUUGAGUUACACUAAUCUAUCACCACAUUUGAAGCAAUGCUUUGCGUAUUGCGCUAUAUUUCCAAAAGAUCACGUGAUGAGGAGGGAGGAGCUGGUUGCUUUGUGGAUGGCAAAUGGCUUUAUUUCUUGCAGAAGAGAAAUGGAUUUGCACGUCAUGGGCAUUGAGAUAUUCAAUGAACUAGUGGGAAGGUCAUUUCUGCAAGAGGUCGAGGAUGAUGGAUUUGGCAACAUAACAUGUAAAAUGCAUGAUCUUAUGCAUGAUCUUGCACAAUCCAUUGCAGUACAAGAAUGCUAUACGACAGAAGGCGAUGGGGAGUUGGAAAUUCCUAAAACUGCCCGUCAUGUUGCUUUUUAUAACAAAUCAGUAGCUUCGUCUUCUGAAGUUCUCAAGGUCCUAUCACUUCGCUCACUUCUUGUGAGGAAUGAACAGUAUGGGUAUGGAUGGGGAAAGAUUCCUGGUCGAAAACAUCGAGCCUUGAGUUUAAGAAAUAUCCGGGCCAAGAAAUUGCCGAAGUCAAUUUGUGAUUUGAAACAUCUAAGGUAUCUAGAUGUGUCAGGCUCGUUCAAAACACUGCCUGAAAGUACAACCUCUCUCCAAAACCUCCAGACACUAGAUCUGAGUUCUUGCAGCGAACUCAUCCAAUUACCAAAAGGUAUGAAGCACAUGAGAAAUCUUGUCUAUCUUGACAUAACGGGUUGUUAUUCACUUCGAUUUAUGCCUGCUGGAAUGGGGCAAUUGAUAUUCCUGCGAAAACUUACCCUGUUCAUUGUGGGUGGGGAGAAUGGUCGUCGCAUAAGUGAGCUGGAAGGGCUGAAUAAUCUUGCUGGUGAAUUGAGUAUCACAGAUCUUGUGAAUGUUAAGAAUUUAAAAGAUGCCACAAGUGCCAAUUUGAAGUUGAAGACAGCUCUUUUAUCACUGACUUUAUCUUGGCAUGGUAAUGGAGAUUACCUUUCUUACCCUUGGUUAAUUGUGCCACCGCAACAAAGAAAGAGUGUUAUUCAGGUAAAUAACGAGGAGGUCCUUGAAGGGCUUCAACCUCAUUCAAAUCUGAAGAAGUUGAGGAUAUGGGGAUAUGGAGGUUCAAGAUUUCCUAAUUGGAUGAUGAACUUGAACAUGACGCUACCAAAUCUGGUAGAGAUGGAGCUAUCAGCAUGUGACCACUGUGAACAACUUCCACCAUUGGGGAAACUGCAGUUCCUCAAGAGUCUUGUAUUGCGUGGAAUGGAUGGUGUGAAGAGUAUUGACAGCAAUGUGUAUGGAGAUGGGCACAAUCCAUUCCCAUCUUUGGAGACGCUGACUUUUAAGCACAUGGAGGGAUUAGAGCAAUGGGCUGCGUGUACUUUUCCUCGCCUUCGAGAAUUGGAGAUAGUCGGUUGCCCUGUGUUGAACGAAAUACCAAUUAUACCCUCCAUCAAAUCACUGCACAUCGAGGGAGUGAAUGCUUCGUUGCUGAUGUCAGUUAGGAAUCUCACUUCGAUCACUUCUCUUUAUAUUAGAGGGAUUGACGAUGUGAGGGAGCUUCCCGAUGGGAUUUUGCAAAAUCAUACCCUCCUUGAAAGCUUCCAUAUUAGUGAGAUGCGAGAUCUGGAGUCUUUGUCAAAUAGGGUAUUAGAUAACCUUUCUGCACUUCAAAAGUUGGAGAUAUGGGGUUGCGAGAAACUUGAAAGCUUGCCAGAGGAAGGUCUUCGUAACCUCAAUUCCUUGGAGGUUUUAGAGAUAUGUAGAUGUCCAAGAUUAAAUUGUCUGCCAAUGAAUGGGUUGUCUGGCUUAUCUUCUCUUCGGGAGUUACUUUUUCAACAUUGUGUUAAAUUAACAUCUCUCACUGAGGGAGUGCGGCAUCUGACGGCACUUGAGGAUUUGUUACUUAAUGGAUGUCCAGAGCUAAAUUCAUUGCCAGAGAGUAUCCAACUUCUCACUUCUCUCCAAUCUCUAAGAAUAUGGGACUGCGAGGGAUUAACUUCUUUGCCAAAUCAGAUUGGAUAUCUCACUUCUCUCCAAUCUCUACAUAUAUGGAACUGCAAGGGAUUAACUUCUUUGCCAAAUCAGAUUGGAUAUCUCACUUCUCUCCAAUCUCUACUCAUUGAGGGUUGUCCAAAUUUGAAGAAAAGGUGUGAGAAAGAUUUAGGCGAAGACUGGUCUAAGAUAGCUCACAUUCCUAAUAUUAGUAUAAAUUGAUAUGCAAAAUUGUUAAAAUAAUUUCUCAUUAACAUUGAAUGAGAAUAAAAUAUAUAUUUUCUUAGUUUUAAUUUGUUGUAAUUGUUUAAAUAACUUUAACAAAGAUUAAUUUCUUUGUAUCCUAAAUUGAAAAUGUUUGGAUUUGCGAGCUUUGUCAUUCAAGAUCGCUGUGCGCUUCACGUGGAAAUACACUCGCUCGAUUGCCUAUAGUUGACCCAGCCUUUUAUCCAUUAUAUUUUAUUUCGAUCAAAACGACCUUUUCAUGUAAAAUUUUCUAAACUUAAAAUACGCAUCGCUCGCACCAGAAAGUAUAUAGAGAGCAUCAAUACAAACAAACUGGAAAAUCGAAAUCUAAUCCAUCCAAAUAAUAAACUUAUUACAAAACAAUGGAGACGGCAAUUUGAGUAACAAUUCAAGACUGUAAUUUAACAAAAAGCUUCAUGAUGCUUUAUGAAAUGAAAAUUGUUUACACAAAACAAUAAAGAAUGAGCUCAUAAGCAUGGUCUUUUAGUCUGUAUGAAGACGUAAUUUUACUUAAUUAAUUGAAACUAAUAAUAUUAAACAAGAGGAGCUAAUUGAUUGAGUCUUGGAUCGAGACGUAAUGUUACUUAAUUCUGAAUCAAUUGGUUAUAUGUACUUAAUUUGCUUGUUUGUAUCACUAAUUACUACUGCCUCCCGGCGUAAAUCUCAAGGGAAGUGGAAUUAACAAAGAUUAAUAUCAUAAUCUAAACUUCAUUUCUUGCAAGCAAUAUAAUAAAACUAUACCCAAGUCUCAGGUUUAAUUUAGUUUCCCUUUGAUUUUCAGCUCCACAACCAUUAUCUUUUAGAUAGCCAAAGGUCAUUUUCCAGGCUAAAAGACCACUAAAACUCGCAACGUCCACUGCCAAAACAGAAAUAUCCCAUGAUUUUCCUCAAGGCCUUUUCAAGGUAUACAAAGAUGGCCGCAUAGAGAGAUAUUGGAACAUUGACUUCGUUUCAGGAGGCGUCGACACAGAAACAGGGGUCCAUUCCAAAGAUGUUGUGAUCUCACCAGUGACCAACGUCAAGGCUCGUAUUUUCCUCCCAAAAAUCGACGGCCCAGCUAAAAAGCUCCCUCUCCUCGUCCACUAUCAUGGUGGUGGCUUUUGCAGAGGCUCACCAUUUACUUCUGCCUUGAAGAAUUUUCUUUCAACCCUAGCCACCCAAGCCGAUGUCACCGCUAUAUUGACUACAGGUUAGCACCUGAACACCAAUUACCGAUUGCAUACGAUGAUUCAUGGGCAGGGCUUAAGUGGAUCGUGAAGCACUCUAAUGGUAAUGGACCCGAACCAUGGAUUAAUGAAUAUGCGGAUCUCGGGCGGGUUAUUUUAGCCGGCGAGAGUGCUGGAGGCACCAUAGCCCAUUAUGUGGCUGUCCAAGCUGGGGCUGCGGGAUUGGCUGCCGUGGCUAUAGAAAGGUUACUAAUAGUGCACCCAUAUUUUUGGGCUAAGGAGCCAGACAAGUUCUACCAAUAAAUAUGUCCAACAAGUUCUGGGGCAGAUGAUCCAAAAUUGAACCCGGCAGUGGAUCCGAAUUUGUCGAAAUUUAAGUGUGAUAAAGUGUUAGUUUGUGUGGCAGAAAAAGGAUAAGCAUAGAGGCAGAGGUAUGGCUUAUUAUAAGCUAUGAGCGAGUGUGGAUGGGGUGGUACUGUGAAUUUUUAUGAAACUGAAGGGGAGGACCAUUGCUUUUAUUUGCUGAAUCCCAAGAGCGAGAAUAUCGAGCCCCUGGUGAAAAAAAUUGUUGAUUUCAUACGGCUGGAUUGAUUUUUUGAGUUUUAUUAAGUGGGAAUCAACAACUUAAUUUUCAGCAAUGGUGAGAGCAGAAAAAUAAUGGUUGAAUUUAAGUUUGUUUGGAUUGUAUUUUGUUUUUUAAUUUUUUAAUAUAUGUACUUUCAAAUGCCAUAUAAAAUGUGCCAUUAUGUUUAUUGCAUUCUUUUGGGCCAUUUUGGCUUGGCAGCACUUUUGUUUUUUAAAUAUUGGUGAAAUAAUACAAAAAAAAAUAAAAAAUAGUGAAAUAAUACAAUUUAUACAUGUCAAUGAAUGGAAAAUGCAAUAUAACUCAGUUUAUGCAGGUCGUGAUUGAAAAAUACUAUACUUAUAACUUGUUGCUAUUAGAAUAACAACUUCUAUAAAAACAUUUAUGAAAAAAACAAGAAACAUAAGAGAGAAAGGAAUCUAAAAAGGAAAGGAUAACUCUUAAAAAGAAUGCCAUCAACAAUAAUCCAAGUGAGUUACAUUUGUUUCUACAGAUGACGAAUAACUUACUUGCUUUUGGUGCUAAUUGUAAUUGUGAUUCACUAGGAUUGUUGUCGUUGAUCUUAUUUGUUGUUAUUGUAUUUAUCCCGUCAAAAUCUUUUUGUUGUUGUAGAAGUCAUUAUUCUGAAUAGCAACAAGCUAUAAAUAUCGUGUUUUUCUAAUUGCGACAUGUACAAACUAUGAUAUUGCACUAAUUAUUUUUAAUUAUAUGUUAUUCUACUAAUAUUCUUCAUUUAAUGUGCUAUUUUUUUUAAUCAUUCUUUCGCUUCCCUUAUUUCUUCAUUCUAGGUGCAAACAAAGUAAAAUAUCAUAAAGUAAAUAUUUCAUGUUUAUAUUUAGUCAACUAAUUUGGUUUAAUUAAAAAAAUACCUUUUUAAAAGCCAACUUUAAUAAAGAACAACAAUAAAAAAAAACCCUAAAAUAACCCAAGUUAUUUUCCAAAUUAAUGAGAAAUCUUGUAGAAAACAAAUAAAAAUAUAAUGGAGUUCAAUAUUUAAUUAAAUAAAUACUAAAAGAUAAAAUUAAAAAAAACACAAGUUUAAAAAAAAGAAAAAAAAAAGAGUAAGCAAACUUAGAAAUAUUUUCUAAACCUGAAUUAAUAUUUCAAAUUCAGAAAUCAUAAAAUUCUAGACUCCAACUUAAUAUAAAAACUCAAUCUCUAAUUAAUUUAAUAUUAAAUAAUGUAAUAAAUUUUCUCGAAUGGGAUUAAUCUUACCAUUUAAAAAAAGUGUGAUGAUACUCGGGUAAGAAAAAAAAAUGUUAGAAAAACUUGAAAUUUUGACGUUUGAAUAUAUAUUCAAUUUUGACGUCUUCAAGAUCUUGGACUUGCUGGGGGCCUAAGGACCGAGCUUGAAAAUCUCAAGCGCACGUUCAGAACCAUUCAAGCUGUGCUGCAAGAUGCAGAGGAGAAGCAGUGGAAGAGUGAGCCUAUCAAGGUGUGGCUCAGCGACCUCAAGGAUGCAGCUUAUGUUGUUGACGAUGUACUGGAUGAGUUUGCAAUUGAAGCUCAGUGGCUUCUGCAGCGAAGAGAUCUCAAAAAUCGAGUAAGAUCCUUCUUUUCUUUUGGUCAUAAGCCACUAGUUUUUCGAUUGAAAAUGGGGCUUAAAUUGAAAAAUGUGAGAGAAAAACUGGAUGCCAUUGCCAAUGAGAAAAACAAGUUCAAUUUAACACCACGAGUUGGGGACACAGCAGCUGAUACCUACGAUUGGCGGCUUACCAGCUCACUCGUGAAUGAAUCAGAAAUUUAUGGAAGAGGCAAGGAGAAAGAAGAACUAGUUAACAUCCUGCUCGCAAAUUCAGACAACCUCCCUAUUUAUGCUAUAUGGGGAAUGGGGGGACUCGGGAAAACAACACUUUCUCAAAUGGUCUACAAUGAAGAAAGGGUUAAACAACAUUUCAGUUUGAGGAUCUGGGUGUGUGUAUCUACUGAUUUCGAUGUAAGAAGAUUAACAAGAGCCAUCAUAGAGUCCAUUGAUGGUGCUUCAUGUGAUAUUCAAGAAUUGGAUCCCUUGCAACAACGCCUCCAACAAAAGUUAACUGGAAAAAGGUUUUUGCUUGUAUUAGAUGAUGUGUGGGAUGAUUAUGAUGAUAGGUGGAAUAAAUUGAAAGAGGUAUUAAGGUCCGGAGCUAAAGGUAGUGCUGUGUUGGUAACUACGCGUAUUGAGAUGGUUGCUCGUAGAAUGGCAACAGCUUUUGUCCAGCACAUGGGGAGAUUGUCUGAAGAAGAUUCUUGGCAUUUGUUUCAACGGCUUGCAUUUUGGAUGAGAAGGAAAGAGGAGUGGGCACACCUGGAAGCCAUUGGAGUAUCAAUAGUGAAGAAGUGUGGUGGUGUUCCUUUAGCUAUAAAGGCACUCGGGAACCUAAUGCGGCUAAAAGAUAAUGAAGAUCAGUGGAUAGCUGUCAAAGAAAGUGAGAUUUGGGAUCUAAGAGAAGAAGCAAGCAAGAUCUUACCUGCUUUGAGGUUGAGUUACACUAAUCUAUCACCACAUUUGAAGCAAUGCUUUGCGUAUUGCGCUAUAUUUCCAAAAGAUCACGUGAUGAGGAGGGAGGAGCUGGUUGCUUUGUGGAUGGCAAAUGGCUUUAUUUCUUGCAGAAAAGAAAUGGAUUUGCAUGUCAUGGGUAUUGAGAUAUUCAAUGAACUAGUGGGAAGGUCAUUUCUGCUAGAGGU